GAUGAGACUUCCCGGGAACUUGAUUCCCCUGAAGGGUCGCGGAAGACCACCGCGUUGAUAGGUCGGGUGUGUAAGAGGAGCAAUCCUUUGAGCUAACCGAUACUAAUUGCCCGUGAGGCUUGAUCCU
rnacentral:rRNA from 1 species